ACCCGGGCAAGCAGCAGAACCUGCGGCCGGCUGAGUCCUCUCCAGCCGCGAGAGGCGGGCUCCAGCCGCGGCUCUCGCGCUCGCUCUGAGCCCCCGCGCCCAGGUGGGAUGGAAGAAGCCUGUCAGGAAAUACAUACUGAAGAGAAAUGAGGGGUAAAGGAUCAGGAUAUAUCUGCAACCUACUCUCAAAUGAUUCAA